AUAUAAAGAACAAAUAUAAUGAAUAUAUAGGAAGAAAAGACUAUGCAAGACACCGAUCUCACAACACUCCUAGAAGACAGGCAUUGCUAUGCUUCCCACUUUACAUAUGGGGAUCAGAGGCCCAGAGAGGUUGAGGCACUUGCCUGGGGUCACACAGUAGUUGAAGCAGGAUUUGAACUCAGAAGUCUGGUUGAAGAACUUGGGCUAGACGCCUUCUGCAGGAGCUCGGGCUUGGUGGCUACCAGGGAAAGAGCCAGAAAGGCCGCUUGCACAGUGAUCAUCAGAGCAGCUCCAGUUCCGCUCCGAUAACAGCCCGAGAUGCAGCAUCCCCACCCCACAGACAAAGAAACCAGGGCUCACAGAGUUGCAGGAAUCUCACAAAGCCACAGAGUGAGGAGGAGGUGGGCCUGAUUCCCCACUCAGAGCGCAAGAGUCUCCACACUGUCCCCAUGGGGCUGCCGCCCUAGCACCUGGGUAAGGUGUAGGAGGCCAUUCUGAGGUCAAGAGAAGCAUUAACUGUUGGAGUGGGAGGGGUCUCGGGAUAGACUAGCGCAAGCAAGCACCAGUGAGCAUUUGCUUUUUUUGUUUUUUGAGACAGGGUCUUGCUCUGUUGCCCAGGCUGGAGUGCAGUGGCAUGAUCAUGGCUCACUGCGGCCUUGAACUCCCAGGCUCAAGUGAUUCUCCUGCCUCAGCCUUCUAAGUAGCUGGGACUACAGGCAUGUGCCACCAUACUCAGCUAAUUUUUAAUUUUUCUAUUAUUUUUUUUUUUUUUUUUGAGAUGGAGUCUCGCUCUGUCACCCAGGCUGGAGUGCAGUGGCACAAUCUCAGCUCACUGCAGCCUCUGCCUCCCAGAUUCAAGCAAUUCUCCUGCCUCAGCCUCCCGAGUAGCUGGGAUUACAGGCAUGCAUCACCACACCCGGCUAAUUUUUGUAUUUCUAGUAGAGACGGGGUUUCACCAUGUUGGCCAGGCUGAUCUCAAACUCCUGACCUCAAAUGAUCCACCCUCCUGGGCCUCCCAGAGUGCUGGGAUUACAGGUGUGAGCCACCGCAUGUGGCCGCCAGCAAACAUUUUCUAUAAAUGGUCAGAGAAUUAAAUAUUUUCAGCUUUAAGGGCCAGUCUCUGUUCCAAGUAUUUAACUCUGCUGCUAUUGCAGGAAAGCAGCCAUAGACAAUCUGUUGAUGUGUGAACAUGGCCCCUGUUCCAAUAAAAUUUUGUUUAUACAAACA